CUGGGUUUGACAUGCAAGGAAAUCUCAUAGAGAUAUGGGGUCCGCAAGGGCUUUGCACAGGUGGUGCAUGGCUGUCGUCAGCUCGUGUCGUGAGAUGUUGGGUUAAGUCCCGCAACGAGCGCAACCCUCGUUCUAUGUUGCCAGCACAUAAUGGUGGGGACUCAUAGGAGACUGCCGGGGUCAACUCGGAGGAAGGUGGGGAUGACGUCAAGUCAUCAUGCCCCUUAUAUCCAGGGCUGCACACAUGCUACAAUGGCCGGUACAAAGGGCUGCGAUACCGCAAGGUGGAGCGAAUCCCAUAAAGCCGGUCUCAGUUCGGAUUGGGGUCUGCAACUCGACCCCAUGAAGUCGGAGUUGCUAGUAAUCGCAGAUCAGCAACGCUGCGGUGAAUACGUUCCC
rnacentral:rRNA from 1 species